CAUUAAAGUGAUUUUUCAAAAAUUACACCAGUGUGGAUUUGUUGUUUUUUUUGUGGGGUAUUUUUACAAGAAAAAGAAAAAAAACCCAUUGUAUACCCAUUUGAAAAAUAGAAUUAUCCAGAGUGGACAUAUCUUAAAGAUGUCUUUGAAAAAAAACAACUUUAGACAAUGGAUCCCUCGGCUCUUACAUCGAUGAAGAACGCAGCGAAUUGCGAUAAGUAAUGUGACAUGCGCAUCUUCGUGAACCAUUUAACCUUUGAACGCAUAUUGCACUUGCAUUUAAACGUGCAAGUAUACCUAUUUCAGUGUCAUUUUAACUCUCAAGUUCCUUUUAAGGGGAAAUUUGGAUUUGAGUGAUUUGCCCAGGGGACCCCUUGUUGGGUACUAGGGUCAUCACUUUAAAAGAGUGAUAGCAUUGUUAGUAUGGAUGCUUGAACCAAAUUGCUUGAUAAUUUCAACAAUGAGGCCAAAGUAUCAUGACAUAUUUAACAAAAAGUCUAUAAAAAAGUAGAAUAUUCAUCCCUUGACCUGAAAUUAGGUAAGAAUACCCGCUGAACUUAAGCAUAUCAAUAAGCGGAGGAAAAGAAAGUAACAACGAUUCCCUUAGUAGCGGCGAGCGAAGUGGGAAAAGCUCAACUUUAAAAUCUGGGUACUCUGUGCUCCGAAUUGUAGUUUGUGGAAGCAUUUUCUGGUAAGCAUCUGUUGGCAAAGACCUCUGGAAAGAGGCAUCAUAGAGGGUGAUAAUCCCGUUGAUGCUGAUGGAUGCUUACCUCUAUGAGGUGCUUUUGAAGAGUCGGAUUGUUUGGGAAUGCAGUCCAAAAUGGGAGGUAAAUUUCUCCUAAAGCUAAAUAUUGGUAAGAGACCGAUAGCGUACAAGUACCGUGAGGGAAAGGUGAAAAGAACUUUGAAAAGAAAGUUAAAAGUACGUGAAAUUGUCUAAAGGGAAACGUUCUGAAGCAUCAAAACUGUGUAAAAAUCAGCAAUUUAGGCCUAGCCAUGAUUGUGCACUUUUUGCAUGGUGAGUCAACAUCAGUGGACUUGAUGGGAUACGGGUUGAUUGGAAUGUGACCUAUUACUUCGGUUUUAGGUGUUAUAGCCAUUCUUCACUUGCUGUCAAGUGUACUGAGGACUGCAACAAAAGCCAUUAGGCGAUACUUGUCAAGACAGUUCGUUUGCUUUCUUACCUGUAUACUUUGUUGUUUCAUCAUUAUGAUGGGACAGGAAAGAGAUGGGUAUAGUUUAGUAAAAAGAAGGUCCAAGUACGAU
rnacentral:rRNA from 1 species